rnacentral:misc_RNA from 1 species
GAUGAAGAACGUAGCGAAAUGCGAUAAGUAAUGUGAAUUGCAGAGUUUAGUGAAUCAUCGAAUCUUUGAACGCACAUUGCGCCCCUCGGUAUUCCGACGGGCAUGCCUGUUCGAGCGUCAUUUCAACCCUCAAGCACAGCUUGGUGUUGGGACUCGCGUUAAUUCGCGUUCCCCAAAUUGAUUGGCGGUCACGUCGAGCUUCCAUAGCGUAGUAGUAAAACCCUCGUUACUGGUAAUCGUCGCGGCCACGCCGUUAAACCCCAACUUCUGAAUGUUGACCUCGGAUCAGGUAGGAAUACCCGCUGAACUUAAGCAUAUCAAUAAGCGGAGGA